rnacentral:rRNA from 1 species
AUGCAACUCUUUGUGAGGACACUCGCCGGCGAGGCCAUCCCGGUAAACGCCGAUCCGUCGGACACUAUCUACAACGUCAAGACGAGGAUCCACAGUGAGUCAGGUGAUCCCAUGUCCAACCACCGCCUCAUGUUCGAUGGCAAGGAGCUGGAGGAAGGACGCACCAUUGCAGAUUACGGUAUUGACAAGGAAUCCGUUGUCCAACUCGCCCUUCUCCCGAAGCCGACACGAGGACCGAUGCAAAUCUUCCUGAGGAUGCCGAAUGGUCGGUUAACCCUCGAGGUCGAGAGCUCAGACACCGUAGACAAGGUCAAGAAAAGGAUUCAUGUUACGUGGGGCAUCCCGCCACCAUCCCAGCUGGCCCUCCUCCUUGACGGAAGGCAGCUAGAGGAUGGGCAUGGACUGGAUGGCUAUGGAGUCUGCGAGGGGUCCACCCUCCACCUCGCCCUUCGUGGGUCGGGCUGGAUCCUCAUCUCUGUCAGGCUGCCUAAUGCCCGCAAGAACCCCAUAAUUCCUCUUAUGGUCCAGAGUUCAGAUACCGUCGACAUAUUCAGCGAGAAGCUCCAGGAAUUGAAGGGGAUUACCGCGUCUGAGCAGCGCAUCAUCUUCCGGGGAAGCCAGCUGAAGGAUGGUCGCACCCUAGCGGAAUGUGGCGUGGUGGAGAACUCGUGCCUCGAUGUGUUACUCCGUCUGCGUGGUACAAAUUGCCCUGGUUGUGCGAGGCAGCGAGGGGAAGAAGUUGACUGA